UGGGCUAUAACUCAGUGGUAGAGUGCUUGCCUGGCAUGUAUGAGGCCCUGGCUUUAAUUGCCAGCACCAA
rnacentral:tRNA from 1 species